CAUUUCUUGGGCCGCUCCCGCGGCAUAUGGAGGUUCCCAGGCUUGGGGUCGAAUCGGAGCUGUAGCUGCCGGCCUAUGCCAGAGCCACAGCAAUGCGGGAUCUGAGCCGAGUCUGCAGCCUACACCACAGUUCACGGCAAUGCUGGAUCCUUAAUCCACUGAGCAAGGCCAGGGAUCGAACCUGCAACCCCAUGGUUCCUAGUCGGAUUCGUUAACCACCGCACAUGACGGGAACUCCUGCGUCCACGUUUUAAGAAUGAUUCCCUGACUCAAAUCUCUAGAACACUCGUCUCCUAAAUUACACCCCAUGUAUUCAUAUUCAAACCUCCACUAAUAGCUAAGACAGGCAACUAAGCAUCCACGUGCCCAAACCAGAACCCACAGUGUAGCCAACAUCCUCCCGAAUUCCUCAGUGUGACAGACCUUCCCCCCAUGUACACAGCCAGAAACCAUCUCUAAUCAUCUUUAUCCCUCUUAUUCCUCAUGGGCAAUCACCACACUGAAUUACAUUUUACUUUUUCACAACUCUUUCCUCCAGGUCGACCACUGCUAUGUUCCAUCAAAACCUUUCUCCUAGAGGGUUGUUACAAUAGAAACCUCACUGAUUCACAGCCUCAAGUCCCAAGUUCCAUUCACUGACCUUCUAAAGACCCAUCAGAUUAUUAUUUUUAACCCCCAAACCUGCUUCUGUCCUUCUUUCCAUUCUUACGUGAUUACUCCUCUCUACAGGAAAGAAUUUUCACGUGCUAGUGGAAUAUGAAUUGCAUCUAUGUUGGGGACCGGAGACUUAUAAUACAGAUGCUGGGUCUCCCACAAGGAAGUCAGUUUUAUAUUCCCUCCGGGUGAUUCUGGUUGGAUGGCAUGAGAUCAACCUGUAACAAACAACAGACUACAAGAUACAGAGCUCCUUUCAAGGAUAUACAACAUGCUUGCAGAUCAAGCCAGCACUUGAUAGCCUUGACAAGCCCAGGUCCCAUUUUCCAUAAUACUUCAUCUGGAAAUAAAAAUUAGUAUAGCCUACCUGCAUCAUCAUUUCCAAAAGCAAAGCACUAUAGUGUCCUAAGUAUAGUAUGGUGGAAGAAAAAAAAGGAAUGUACUUUAAAAUAAUUUCUUAUUUACAUAUUUGUGCAAAACCAGACUGGGAAAUAUCAUGAAGCAGAUAGGUGCUCACGUCCAUACAUAGAAUCACCAUGAACACAACAGCUACAAACAGAUCAACAGUGCUUCUACUGGUAAGUGUGUUAUUUAGUAAAGGUCCAUAUGUGAAGCUGAGUCAAGGCAUAACUCUCCCAGACUUCAGGCAAUAUUACAAAGUGACAGUAAUCAAGACAGUGUGGUACUGGCAGCAAAACAGACAGACCCACCAAUGGAACAGAACAGAGAACCCAGAAAUAAACCCAGACACCCACAGUCAAUUAACCUUCAACAAAGGAAGCAAGAAAAUAAAAUGGGACAAAGAGUCUUUUCAGCAAGUGGUGCUGGGAAAAUUGGACAGCUGCAUCUAAAUCAGUGAAACUGGAACAUGCCCUCACACCAUGCACAAAAAUAAACUCAAAAUGACUCAAAGACUUAAACCUAAGACAAGACACCAUCAGACUCCUAGAAGAGAACAUAGGCAAAACCUCCUGACAUCAACCUUACAAACGUUUUCUUAGGUCAGUCUCCCAAGGCAAUAGAAAUAAAAGCAAAAAUAAAACCAAUAGGACCUAAUCAAAGUAGCAAGCUUUGCACAGCAAAGGAAACCAUUAAAAAAAAAAAAAAAGACAACCUACAGAAUGGGAGAAAAUAGUUUCAAACGAUGCAGCUGACAAGGGCUUAAUCUCUAAAAUAUACAAGCAACUUAUACAACUCAACAGCAAAAAAAAACAACCACCCAAUUGAACCAAUGGGCAAACGACCUGAAUAGACAUUUCACCAAAGAAGAUAUAGAGGUGGCCAACAGGCACAUAAAAAAAUGCUCUACAUCACUGAUUAUUAGAGAAAUGCACAUCAAAACUACUAUGAGAUACCACCUCACACCAAUCACAAUGGCCAUCAUUAACAAGUCAAGAAAUAACAAAUGCUAGAGAGGGUAUGGAGAAAAGAGAACCCUCCUACACUGCUGGUGGGAAUGUAAAUUGAUACAACCACCAUGGAAAACAGUAUGGUGGUAUCUCAGAAAAGUAAAUAUAGAACUACCAUAUGAUCCAGCAAUCUCACUCUUGGGCAUUUAUCCGGAAAAAAGCUUCCCUUGGAAAAGGACACAUGCACCUGCAUGUUCACUGCAGCACUAUUCACAAUAGCCAAGAUAUAGAAACCACCUAAAUGUCCAUCAACAGAUGAUUGGAUUAAGAUGUGGUAUAUAUACAAAAUGGAGUACUACUCAGCCAUAGAAAAGAACAAAAUAAUGCCAUUUUUAGCAACACGGAACUGGAGACUCUCAUACUAAGUGAAGUUAAGUCAGAAAGAGACAAACAGCAUAUGAUAUCACCUAUAUCUGGAAUCUAAUAUAUGACACAAAUGAACCUUUCCACAGAAAAACUCAUGGACUUGGAAAGCAGACUUGUGGUUGUGGGGGGGUGGGGGAAGGGAUUGGGAUGGACUGGGUUUAACAGAUGCAAACUAUUGCCUUUGGAAAGGAUAAGCAAUGAGAUCCUGCUGUAUAGCACUGGGAACUGUAUCUAGUCUCGUGAUGGAGCAUGAUGGAGGAUAAUGUAAGGAAAAGAAUGCAUAUAUAUGUGGGAUGGGGGUUGUGUGUGACUGGAUCACUUUGCUGUAUAGUAGAAAAUUGACAGAACACUGUAAAGCAACUAUAAUGGAAAAAAUAAAAAUCAUUUAACUAGUUUUAAAAAAGAAAUAGAACUAUUACAUUGGCAUCAGAAAGAAAGAAAAAGAAAGAAAGAAAGAAAGAAAGAAAGAAAGAAAGAAAGAAAGAAAGAAAGAAAGGAAGAAAGAAAGAAAGAGAAAGCAAGCAAGCAAGCAGAGUCAGGUUCCAGAUCAAACACUUGAAACAGUAUUUGGUCCUAACCUUGCCUAAAGGUCUGGGGAGCCCUUCAAGCAUCACAUGAAGCACAGAGGAAUCUGUGCAGGACAGCCUAUGUGUUGCAGGGUACCAGCAUCCUGGGCUCUACUCACUAAAUGCUAGCAGGGUUCCCCCGAUCAGUGAGGACCAAAAAAAGCACCAUACCAGUUUCCAAGACACCUCCUAGAGUGAAGAGCCCCUACCCCACAAUCUAGCAUCCACUCCAUCACUCCACAUAAGUAAUUAAAGUGACCAUGAUUUUUAGGUCUCAAAUCCUGUAGAUACUUGUCUUUUCUCAUCCUCUGUCUGCAGUUGGUCUCAACAUGCUCUUCCCUUGACUGUUAGCGUAACAAACUCCCCCAAUUUUCUUACCUUCCUUUCACUCCUUAUUCUUAGUAUCCUUUAGGAGCUCAUCCCCUCCCCUACCUGGCCAUGAAAUAUUGCGAGUCGGUGACACCCACCCAGAGGCCUCCUUCCUUCCUCCAUCUCUGCUCUUUCUCUAGUCUCUUCCCCAUCGUUUCAAUCACCAUCUAUAUACCUCCAACCGUCUCAAGUUUGUAAUAUCCCAAGCAGACCUCUGUUCCCAACUCCAAAGCUAUCAAUGCAACUACCCAGUAACAUCACUUUACAGUAUGUCCAAGGAGUUUAGCCAAACUGUCUCAUCACCUGCCAGCCACACGGCAGCCACCUCAGUUCCCCCUCAAAGCUUGGCCCUCUCCUCCUCGCUGGGUAAAUGGACCAGCAUCAGUCUAGGUAUCCACAUUGGAUACCUUGGGACUCUGUCCCAUGUGCAAUCCAUCCACAAAAUUCUAUGGACUUUCUCAGCUUGUUCACCAGUACUACUCCCGGGACCUAGCACAGCACGUGACACAAAUAAGUGUGCAAUAAAUAUAUAUGAAAUGAACAAGCGAGCGGCCUACUUGUGGACAUCUCCCUUCUUCCCCCCAAACCAUUUUCCCUGAUAUUCCUUCCACACAAACACAGCACUUUCACUCCAAAACCUUGUAAACAUCUACCCUUUAAUUCUCAGCCAAACUGACACAUUCUCAGCCCAGUUUCCCUUGGGCUCUUUCCCCUCUGCUCUCACAGUAAACACAGCACCUCGGCCACACCAUCACUACCUUGUGAUGACUUGGCAUGACAACACCCUUCCUUCCUUUGGAUCUGAACACAUGACAAAUAGGCAGGAUCUAUUACUUUGUAAUGAUUUCAUUACUAGUUUCAACUCUGUCUCCAUCUAUCCCAUCCCAUCCUGCCAAGCAGGGGUGGGAAGGGCCAAGUACAUUUAAGAGAAAGGAAUGACCCGUCCCGGUGCGUUCUCAUGGCGACAUGAAACCAGAUACCAUGUUUCUAUUAGUCAUGAUACCCUCUUUAUUCCUUCCCAAACAUGGUCAAGGGCAUGUGAGGGACCCGAGGAAGAAGCCAUGUCCACAAGUCAGCCACUGCCUGCGAGGUGGCGGCCAAAGCCUCUCAGGUAAGGAUCAGCACUGUAGAGGUACAUGUUUCUGACUGUGGGAAAAGUUGUUAGCAAAAGACUACACACACACACAAAGCUAUUCAACCACAAGCCUGGAGGAGAAUCAAAAUAAGCCGAAGCUUAAUUAGAGUUGAAGAUUUCCCGUCUGGGAUCCAUGUUAGGGACUGAGCUUCAAAGUCAUCACCCAGGAGGCAAUUCUAUCGCCAGUGGAACCGGCCUCUGAGAACACUAGAUGCAAAGCUGGGGGUUUUUUAAAAAUUGUUCACAUAAUCCAGCAUUCACAACCUGUGUGUGUAUAUGUGUGUGUCUGUUUCCUAACCUCAACUCCAGGCACUGCUGAAACCUGGUGCUCUCAGCUCUCUGCUGCCCAGCUCCUCUCCCCUUCCAUAAAUUAAGUUAAUGAGGAGUUCUCUGAAAGAGAACAUUCUCUUAAAGGCUCUGUUAUUCCGAAGUCAAUGGCUCUGACAUACAGCCAGGCCAAACAGUCACAGGCAGCAAUAACUCUUGCAGCAGCUCCAAAACUUAGCCUCAAAUGUCACCGAGUCCUCCCCUGAUCUCUCUUCCCCUUUGAUUAUCACUGGUUGCCUUCCUUCCUCCCCUAACAUUUUACAGCAAACGCGAAUGCAUCAAAGAAACCAGUUAAGGAUGUGAAGAUUGAGAAACACAUUCAAUCUGAAUGUUAUGAUCUUGUCUUUUCCUUCCCACAGCUUGUCUCAGUGAGAAAAGGACAAGUGUAAAUUUGAUGUCCCACAGAACAGAACAACAAAAAUACAUCUAAGCCAACAAGAGGGGUGGGCAUUUCUAAAUGCCAGCACGCUCAUCUAAUACUUAGCACACACACUUAGUGCAAGGAUUAGGUCCUCUUUGUGAGGGGUUCAUGAUUUUUACACGAGAAAUGAGUGGACACGUACGUAAUGAGGUAAUCAAGCCAACUUGACAGACACAACUGCUUCAAAUCACCUUCCGCAACUAACAUCCAGUGAGAUGAGGAUCCAAAUGUAAAAAGGCAAACAAAAUUGCUGGGGAAUCCGGUUUGGAUGCACCUAAUGGGUGCAAGAUCAGCACAAACCUGAUGAAAGUCACUCAGGUCCUUAAGCCUUCAAUGCAAAAGGUUAAAUGCAUGUUUAUAAAUCAGCUCCCCGAUCUUGAAAAUAAACAUCAUUUUCUGGAUAAGAUGAGUCUAAAGACCUGUGUCUAUAAUUUGAUCUACAGAUUUGUGCGGGUAUUCCCAAAUUUCAGCACUUAUGCUCCAAAAAGAAGGAACAGAGAACCAUAAAAGGUUGUAUUUACUUUCUCUAACUGACCAUGGCUUAAUGAGCCGGCGAUAGCUUUCAAAUAAUUCAUCAGUGUACUCCAAAAAGCAGUCUGUCAUCUAAUGGCCACGGGUUCCAAAAUAAUAGCUAUAGUGAUGAAGACAGGUGAAAGGAGACCCACGUAAUGGGCAGAUACCUGGAGAAGGGAGCUUCCCUUGGCAAGUAUGGGUGAGAUAAUGAUUAGACCUCGGAAAGGCCGCAUGUACGCUCUUCUGCUUAGUCUGGGCUGCCUUCCUCUAUGCAUAGUUAUAGAACUCUAUCUAUAAAAAAAUUAAGUUUCAUGAGGCGUCUUCACACACAUUUAUUUCAUGUGAUCCCACAGCAAUCCGUCAAGUCAUCACACCCACUUCACAGACCAGAAAACUGAGGUUCAGGAAAUGACACAAAGAACAAGUGAUCUGAGAAGUCCAACACGUACCUUCUGAUCCUGAGCAAUAGGUUCUGUUUUUAUUCUUAGAUUUAAAACUAAAUAACAGGAAUAAAUACUGCAGGAAAAUGAACACCUAGGGAAUCUGCAACCAUCUCUGAGUCAGGAAGAUCACAAGCAAAAGUUAUGCACAGCAAAGUAAGUAGUGAGCUUGCUUCAUGAUUGGUAGCUAUCAAGUGGAAAUUGGCAUCCUUUGAGUCUAUCUCCAAAACCUAUUGCGUUGCCUUACAUCACAAAUUCUUGUCUAGGCCAUGCCACGGAAGAGAGUUUAUUCUGACCCUGAGUUUGUGAUGUUACUGGCUGUUAUUUCAACUGAAAAUAUGCUCACCAGAGCACACUGUGUUCUUUACCCAUCCGUGAGGUGAAAAUGCCCCAGCACUCAAUGAGAAGAAUGGGCUGCUAAUAUUUAAUACGAACACAGACACUUCUCUUCCAGUGUAAUUCACUGGGCACACAUCAUUAAGGAUCAAAGCACAGGCAAACCGAAGAAUGGAAAAGGAAUUCGAAAACAUCAAAGUUAAUUAUAUUUGGUUGUCCCAAUAGCUGUUACUUGUUCAAUUAAGAUGCUGCUUUGGCUAAUCUUAAGUCAAGCUGUGCUUCUCCAAAAGUCCAAGCAAUAAAAGCAAAAAGUCAAAACAUCUGAAGCUGAAGCUUUUUCCUCCCUAACGAGUUCUCUGCAUUUACUAGCGCCUCCACAGCUCAUAUCAACGCGAAGCAUCUAUUCGUUCUUCACCAUAGUCAGCAGGGCGAGCUCUCCAACAUGCAGCCCCCAGCCAACACCUCAGCCAACAGGUGAUCCAUGACGCCUCCAUAACUUGCCUCUUCACCCAUCCUACAUUUACAAAAACAAAAAACAAAAAAAAUCUACACAGAGGAAGGGGGUUAAGAACAAAACCAUGAGCCCGCUCUGAUGAGAGGCCUCUGCUUUCGGUGGCUUCCUGGUUUACUGGGAAUAAAAAAACCUCAUCACAUCUCAAUCCCUCUUCUGACCCCAUCCCAAGCACCACCAGCUUAAGUUCUAUCACUGAGACAGUAUUUUGUACCUCAUUAUCCCUGCUUCCAAACUCCAAAGGCAAGAAUAUUCAUAGAUUAAUCCAUUCAGUGGUACCACCUAAGGGGUAAAGAAUUCCUGGAGAGCAGGCUCUUCGUUACAAUUGCUACCGUGUGUCACAAGGGAAGCGGACACUUAGGGGUUGUCUCAACUAAAAACUGGUAGAAAAGAAAAAUGUUCCAUGGCCACCAGCAGCAACAAUGCACUGGCAUUUCUGGAAUCGUUCUUUUCAUGGAGUGGAACCACAUUUUGCCAAGGAUUUUAUGUGCACCAGGAACUGGAUUGGAAGCUCUAAGGCCAAUGUUCCAGUUAGUCCUUCCCACAAGCCUGCAAAACAGGGGUAGCAUCUAAAUUUUGUGCUGAGACUCAACGAGGGUCUGCUCCAAAUGCACCUAAAGGAAUUUCCCUCAAAACUGGUUCUCAGGAUGCUCUAUGAUUUCCCUCGACCCACAUGAGUCAGCUAAGUUCUGGGAUGAGAAGAGAGGGCAGCCACCAGCUUCCAGGUCCUCCAUGUGCCAGCCUGCUGGCAUCCACAAUU
rnacentral:lncRNA from 1 species